rnacentral:rRNA from 1 species
GUCUUUUUGAAUAUAAUUUAGAGUCUAAUCUGCCCACUGAUAAAAAUUAAAGGGCUGCAGUAUAAUGACUGUACAAAGGUAGCAUAAUCAGUAGUUUUUUAAUUGAAAACUUGUAUGAAAGAUUUGAUGAAAUAUAGACUGUCUCUAAUUUAUAGAUUGAAUUUUAUUUUUUAGUAAAAAAGCUAAAAUAAAUUUAAAAGACGAGAAGACCCUAUAGAGUUUUAUAUUUAAUUUUAUUUUAAAAUUAUAUAAAAAUUAAUAUUAAAAUAAAAUUAAAUAUUAUAUUGGGGUGAUAGAAAAAUUAAAUUAACUUUUUUUAAAAAUUAAACAUAAAUAAAUGAUUAUAUGAUCCAUAGAUAAUGAUUAUAAGAAAAAAUUACCUUAGG